UCCUUCCAGGCUUGAGUGGGGAAAUGCUAGCAUGGCAGAAAUGCAGCACACGGAUGGCUCACGGGUAGCGAACAUGCCUGCAGACACACGGAUGAGGCAGGCAGUGGAGGCUAUUCACUUAUCAGCCCAUGCAGAAAUCUGCAGGCAUCUCCUAACAAACACCCCAGCCCCAACUCCUCCUUUUGCAACACCUGAUCUCCUACUAAAUGCAGACACCCUUGCCCAAAGAGCUGAGCCUUGAAAUUUGUGAGUGCUGUUAGUACAGGGUUUUUUUGAAAUGAGAAGAGCAUUUGCUGGAAGUGGUGUUCUUUGAUCUUGUCCAAAGGGAAGUUCUAGUCUCCUUCCUGAUGGGAAGAAGCAGCAGCAUACUGGCUGAGAGAAGACUGCAGGCUGCUGGAAACCUCUUGUUAUACAGGACUGAAUGUCCUUGAAAGCACCAGUUAUAACAAACAACUAGGGGCAGAUCUCAGGCGAACGCUGCACGAGUCAGAGGUCACAGCUGGAAGUGGUUUUAGGGGAAAUUCAAAAUUACUGUCAAAAGCAGUUCUCUCUCAUUUUAAUUGUAAUUGGUUAAUCUCAUUUUAUUUGCCUUGUGGCUAUGGCUGUGAAGCUUAGGAAACUCUCGGGGCCCCUGUUCUCCUCUCAGUUACUCUGAGAGCAAUUCUGAAGACUUCAGCAAAGUUGCUUUGGAUUUUUCCCUUGUGCCACUGAGACCAGAGGGCAUUCUUUGGAGAAGGCUGCAGCAAGGGAGGGCAUGAAUGUGGCUGAUGGCUGUUCGUUUUUCAGAAAUGGUAUUGACUGAUUUAACCUUCCUCAUGGCCCCCCUCUGCUGAGUUGCCAAUGGCCAGUGCAGGGAGCUAAGGAUGGUUUUGCACAUAUCACUCCCUUCAACCUUCCUGGAGCUGGAGGAGGGGAGGGCUACAGGUGGUACAGCUGCUCUGGGAAGGGGUGAAUAUGGUGCCAGGAUAGCAUCAGCUGAGGAUACAUUUCACUGCAUUUUGGAAACUGAAAGUCAGUGGGAGCAGUCUGCUCCUGUAAUGCACCAUGCACUGAGCUACUGGCAAAUUCUCCACUAACAGCUUAAACCUGUCUCUGCAGUAUACCCGCAGCUUGAGGGCAGUGUUUGUCCAGUGGUAUCUCAUCAAACUGAAGAGUGCACAGUCAACAAACCACUCAGGAUUAGCACAGCAAGACACUGCUGCAAAAGCGGGCGAUGUGUUAACAAGCUGAGCUGUGCCUGGUAAAGAGUUUGGCGAAGACCUGAUCUAACACGUCAGGCAGCUUGUCUGUGGCCCCUGUCUCCCCACCCUCUCCUCAGCACACGUGUGCAGUCACAUGGAAUUUGCUGCUUUGACUUGCAGGCAAGUCAAAAAGCUGUCGAACAGCGAUCACAUCUAACACCACUCAUCAUCACCAUCAAUUGUUCUCCAAAUGAAACAGGCCAUGUCGCCAAGCUAAAUGCUUGGGAAGAUAUUUUUCCACUGGACAUGCAUCCAAAAUAAAUACAGGAAAAUCUCCUUCUCCAAGCACUUCUCCUGAUUGCUUUUCAUUUGAAUCAUUAGUAAACCCGAGAUAUACACACACAAUAGCACACAACUGAUGAAAACCUACUUCAACAUAGUGCCCCAGUUUUUCUUCUGAGAUUAAUCCUCUUUGUUACUCUCAGCCUACGAGAAAAACAUCCCUCCAGCCUACCCAAAGCCA